rnacentral:rRNA from 1 species
AUACGGAGGUGGCGAGCGUUGCUCGGAUUUACUGGGCGUAAAGCGCGCGUAGGCGGUCCGCGUAGUCAGGCGUGAAAGCCCCGGGCUCAACCUGGGAACUGCGUUUGAUACUGGCGGGCUAGAGUCCGGGAGAGGAUAGUGGAAUUCCCAGUGUAGAGGUGAAAUUCGUAGAUAUUGGGAAGAACACCAGUGGCGAAGGCGGCUACCUGGACCGGUACUGACGCUGAGGUGCGAAAGCGUGGGGAGCAAACAGGAUUAGAAACCCCAGUAGUCC